rnacentral:rRNA from 1 species
GUCUACAGCCAAGCCACCCUGAACAAGCCCGAUCCUAUCUGAUCUCGGAAGCUAAGCAGGGUCGGGCCUGGUUAGAACUCAGAUGGGAGACCACCUAAAAAGACGAGCUGCUGUGGACA